rnacentral:rRNA from 1 species
GACGAACGCUGGCGGCGUGCCUAAUACAUGCCAGUAGAACGCUGAAGGAGGAGCUUGCUUCUCUGGAUGAGUUGCGAACGGGUGAGUAACGCGUAGGUAACCUGCCUGGUAGCGGGGGAUAACUAUUGGAAACGAUAGCUAAUACCGCAUAAGAGUAGAUGUUGCAUGACAUUUGCUUAAAAGGUGCAAUUGCAUCACUACCAGAUGGACCUGCGUUGUAUUAGCUAGUUGGUGGGGUAACGGCUUACCAAGGCGACGAUACAUAGCCGACCUGAGAGGGUGAUCGGCCACACUGGGACGGAGACACGGCCCAGACUCCUACGGGAGGCAGCAGUAGGGAAUCUUCGGCAAUGGACGGAAGUCUGACCGAGCAACGCCGCGUGAGUGAAGAAGGUUUUCGGAUCGUAAAGCUCUGUUGUAAGAGAAGAACGAGUGUGAGAGUGGAAAGUUCACACUGUGACGGUAUCUUACCAGAAAGGGACGGCUAACUACGUG